AGACGGUACUGAGCUAGGUGGAUCAGUAUAGAGCAGCUUCCUAUGUUCCUAUGAGGAACAAGGUUGGAAGGUGGUAGGAGCACGGAGGCCUGCCAGUUCUGAAGUCAAAUGAAACAAAACAACAGCCAGAGGUAAGAAGCGAGACCUGUGUGAUUGAGCCUGUUCUCCUUUUACUUCAAAGACAUGUGUUAAACCAUUCAACUGUAAUGCUUACCCUUUCUAGACAUUUUUCCUUUGCAGUGGGGCGGAGGUGAUUUCCCCAGCUAGUCCUGGCAGGGGCCCAGGACAGUGACUGUUUACUCCCCCUGUCUCUGUCCACUCACUGCCUUUCUCCUCCUUUCUUCUCCUCAUGAACAUUCCAACUGAUCUGAGAGCAAGAUUGAGGCUACGGGACCCUCUUGGUUCUUAAUUUGUGGAAAUUCAAACCACAUGUAUUUCAACUAAACUAUGAAAGCAUGAAAACUAUGCAAGUAUGAAAGACGGACCAUCAAAGAGGCCUUUCCCAAAGAGAUUGAGUCAGCUUGUGCUUCCCUAUUUGAACAGAGUGGGGGGAAUCCAUUAUAAAAAGGGGGGCAACUGUAGUCUAUCUUGAGGUUUCACAACAGAGAUGUAGUGAUCCACCUCUCACUGAAAUGAUGUGUAAUGCCAUGCUGUACACCUGGCCAAGCUUGGCAGUGUACCACAUCUUUGCACAGAGUGCAUCAUAGAGAUGUAGAUGUUUUUACUUUCUAGGAUAAAUAGCCUACAGAUGCAUGUUCCUUGUCCAGCAUAACCUCUAUGCACCAUUAAAAAAACCCCAACACUAUGCUAUUCUGUCACUAGGGAUGUGUAGAACCAGUUCUAUUCCAACCGCGUUCUAUUUGAACUGGACUGGUUCAACUGGUUCAAACGCAAACUAGACAGGCCAAAAAUAAUGAUGAUGAUAAUAAUAAUAAUAAUAAUAAUAAUAAUAAUAAUAAUAAUAAUAAUGGGGGUGCUGGUUUGAGGUAAAACCGAACUGAGCCCAGUUCAAAUUGAACCAGUUCAAACCAGUUCAAUGGCUCAAACAGUCUGGUUGCGACUAUUUUCUUCACUCUGUUUAAAAUUUUUCUCAGUCGCUCUUUUCUGUCUCUGACUUCUGAUUGGCUAGCGAUCUCCUUAAUCCUGGUUGGCUUGUUGUCAUUCAAAUCUCUGUGUUAUCAGGGCAGCUCUGCCCCCACUGGCUAGUGGGGAGGGAUGAGGAGGAGGAGAGAAAAAAAGGAGGGCAUUUCAAAGUGUAUAUAAACAGAGUAAUUUUAUAAAUUACUCUGCCUCUGGCUGGCUGGCUGGCUUUUUUAUUUUAUUUUAUUUUAUUUUGAAUAUUUAUACCCUGCCACUCCAGUACACUGCUGUUCGGGGCAGCUAACAAUAAGUGAUAAGAAAGUGCCUUUCUUGCUGCAUUGGUGCUACUUCUUGCUCACUUUGUUGCCUUGUUCUGCUGCUGGUGGUGGUCUGGACUUCUGGAGCCCUUCCCUGCCUGCCCUGCAGAGACCUUCCCUGCCUGCCUGCCCUGCAGAGACUCUCUUGUUUGGAUUAUCUUUGUGAUUUUGGAACCCUGCUCUUGUUUGCAUGAUCUUGGUGUUGUUGGGCUCCUGCUGUGCUGUUGAGUGCCAUUGUACCCUGGCCAGAGUCUCCAACCAAAGACACCAUUGCCUAAAGGAGAUGACGACUUUGGUGAGCUAAAUGAAAAUGAACAGAUUCACAGCAGGCCAGAUUCACAGCAGCAUCAGUCCAGGCCUUCAAAUACUGUCCAAACAACAAAAGGAAUUCAAACAAAUUGCAUCCUUUUUAGAGGAAUGGGAUUUUUAGAGAAUCAGUGCCACAAUCUGCAAGAAAAAGAAGCUCUCAAUCCCAUGAGCUAUAUUCACAGCUUUUCUGAAGCUGCUAUUUUCUUUCAUCAGUUCCCACAGUGUUUAAAAUGCGUGGAUUUCUACAGCUUGCUGCACAGGUAGAGCAAAUGAAGACAUACUAUGCAAACUGCUCAUGUUAACACAACAAGAAGAAUUCAGUUUACAGCUCUGAAGAAACAGGUUGACAAAUGAAAAAUAGAGGCAAAUAUCUUUCUAUUAUCUCCUGAAGACUGAUAUGCUUUCAGAAUCCCCCCGCCCCAUUAAAUCAAGAAACUGCAUUUUAAAAUGUUGUCUCUGCCUAGCAUUUCCAUUUUGGCUCAUUUGCUUCCAGCAACUACUGUUAGUGUGUACAAUAACACAGUAUACCCCCCGCCAUAUGAAGUUUUAAUUGAAGAGUCACAAAAUACCUAAAAUUUUAUAAUUUCUUCUUGAUUGAUUUAUUUGAUAACAUUUUUAUAAAAUCAUUUCCUAGUAUAAAUGAAGUCCAUUCUGA